rnacentral:miRNA from 1 species
UGAGAAUUAUGCGGAGGAUGU